rnacentral:lncRNA from 1 species
GAAAAAUACACUGUAAUAACCUUAAAAUUAUAGUGUGAUUGCCCUGUGACUUAUAGUGUAAUUGCACUAAAUUACACUAUAAUUUACCUGAAGUUACAAUGUAAUUACAUUAUAAAUACCAUUAAAUUACAUUGUAACUACCCUUGAAAUUACAUAGUAAUUGGCCUUGUGAUGUACCAGAAAUUAAACUACUAUUCCUAGUAGUUUACUAAGUGAUUACCCCUGAAAAUUUAUGCUAUAACUACCCUGUAAUUACACUGUAAUUGCAAAAUUAGCAUUGUAAUUACCCAAAAAAAUUACGGCGUAAUUACCCCUGAAAUUACAAUCUAGUCGUUGUAAUUCCAUUUUGGUUUGCACUAGAAAUUGCAUUGUGAUCACAAUGUAAGUUCCCCCGAGUUUACACACUAAUAGAAUUGUAAUUACAUUGAAAAUCCUAUCAAUGUGGCUGUUCAUUAGGUUUCAAAAAAGAAAUAAAACUAAAUCUAUGAUUAGAGGGAAGGAUAAUCAAGGAAACAACUAGAGGAACAAACAGGAGAAACAAGGGCGAUGUAGUAGAAACAAGACCAUGGCAACCGUACAAAUGGGGACCAUGAGAAGCCUACAAAACUUGAACAUUAUAAGCCGAGAGAAAACACAUCAGAAACACUACACAGUAGAAAGUAGCUAAAUAAAAACGACUAAAAGAUACAAAUUCAUAGGAAAGGAUUAUCAUCUACAUCUACAUUACAGGGGUCGGCCAAAAUCAAACUACAAGGGCAAACAAAUUCACAUGAAGGAUACACCAUCAACACCUACAUCUACAUCAUGCAAACCAAAAGAAUCAAACGACUAGCGGAAACAUACCAUACCACUACAUCUAACAACAAAAAAUGCAGGUGGAAUAAACACCCAGGCCAGCAGAUAUGAAAUCGACAGGGGAAUCGAAUCCCACCGCUACAUCAUGGACCUACAACCACAUUUGAAACAAAAC